rnacentral:misc_RNA from 1 species
CCGAGUUUACAACUCCCAAACCCCUGUGAACAUACCUAUCGUUGCUACGGCGGAUCCGCCCCGGCGCCCUCGGGCCCGGAUCAGGCGCCCGCCGGAGACCCCAAACUCUUGUAUUUCUUUAGUAUCUUCUGAGUAAACAAGCAAAUAAAUUA